rnacentral:rRNA from 1 species
AACGAACGCUGGCGGCAUGCCUAACACAUGCAAGUCGAACGAACCCUUCGGGGUUAGUGGCGCACGGGUGCGUAACGCGUGGGAAUCUGCCCUUUGCUUCGGAAUAACAGUUAGAAAUGACUGCUAAUACCGGAUGAUGUCUUCGGACCAAAGAUUUAUCGGCAAGGGAUGAGCCCGCGUAGGAUUAGGUAGUUGGUGGGGUAAAGGCCUACCAAGCCGACGAUCCUUAGCUGGUCUGAGAGGAUGAUCAGCCACGCUGGGACUGAGACACGGCCCAGACGCCUACGGGAGGCAGCAGUGGGGAAUAUUGGACAAUGGGCGCAAGCCUGAUCCAGUAAUGCCGCGUGAGUGAUGAAGGCCUUCGGGUCGUAAAGCUCUUUUACCAGGGAUGAUAAUGACAGUACCUGGAGAAUAAGCUCCGGCUAACUCCGUGCCAGCCGCCGCUGUAACAC